GGUGAGGUGCAGGAGUGGAUGAUCUGGUCGCUCUCGAAAAGCGAUAUGGCAAGCAAUUGUCAUCGUGGGUUCGAAUCCCACCCUCACCG
rnacentral:tRNA from 1 species